rnacentral:rRNA from 1 species
UACGGAGGGUGCAAGCGUUGUUCGGAAUCAUUGGGCGUAAAGCGCGCGUAGGCGGUUCUCUAAGUCUGGUGUGAAAGCCCGGGGCUCAACCCCGGAAGUGCACUGGAUACUGGAAAACUAGAGGACGGGAGAGGAGAUCGGAAUUCAUGGUGUAGGGGUGAAAUCCGUAGAUAUCAUGAGGAACAUCUGUGGCGAAGGCGGAUCUCUGGCUCGUAUCUGACGCUGAGGCGCGAAAGCGUGGGGAGCAAACAGG